rnacentral:rRNA from 1 species
CAAUAGCGUAUAUUAAAGUUGUUGCAGUUAGAACGCUCGUAGUCGGAUUUCGGGGCGUUCCGACCGGUCUGCCGAUGGGUAUGCACUGGCCGGAGUGCCCUUUUUGCCGGAGACCGUGCCUACUCUUAACUGAGCGGGGGCGGGAGACGGCACUUUUACUUUGAAAAAAUCAGAGUGUUUCAAGCAGGCAGCUCGCUCUUGCAUGGAUUAGCAUGGGAUAAUGAAAUAGGACUUUGGUGCUAUUUUGUUGGUUUCGAACACCGAAGUAAUGAUGAGAAGGGACAGUCAGGGGCACUCGUAUUCCGCAGAGAGAGGUGAAAUUCUCAGACCCGCGGAAGACGAACCACUGCGAAAGCAUUUGCCAGGGAUGUUUUCACUGA